CAGCCGCCACGGGAAUACAGAGGGUGCAAGCGUUAAUCGGAAUUACUGGGCGUAAAGCGCGCGUAGGUGGUUUGUUAAGUUGGAUGUGAAAGCCCCGGGCUCAACCUGGGAACUGCAUUCAAAACUGACGAGCUAGAGUAUGGUAGAGGGUGGUGGAAUUUCCUGUGUAGCGGUGAAAUGCGUAGAUAUAGGAAGGAACACCAGUGGCGAAGGCGACCACCUGGACUGAUACUGACACUGAGGUGCGAAAGCGUGGGGAGCAAACAGGAUUAGAUACCCCUGUAGUCCCUGUCUCUUAUAC
rnacentral:rRNA from 1 species